UGGGGAAUAUUGGACAAUGGGGGCAACCCUGAUCCAGCAAUGCCGCGUGAGUGAUGAAGGCCUUAGGGUUGUAAAGCUCUUUUGCCAGGGACGAUGAUGACGGUACCUGGAGAAUAAGCCCCGGCUAACUUCGUGCCAGCAGCCGCGGUAAUACGAAGGGGGCUAGCGUUGUUCGGAAUUACUGGGCGUAAAGGGCGCGUAGGCGGUUUGACCAGUCAGGUGUGAAAUUCCCGGGCUUAACCUGGGGGCUGCACUUGAUACUGUCAGGCUUGAAUUCGGGAGAGGAUAGCGGAAUUCCCAGUGUAGAGGUGAAAUUCGUAGAUAUUGGGAAGAACACCGGUGGCGAAGGCGGCUAUCUGGACCGACAUUGACGCUGAGGCGCGAAAGCGUGGGGAGCAAACA
rnacentral:rRNA from 1 species